AUAGUGGAGAGCUUUGGUGGAGGUGGGAAAGUUUGCAUCACAUCUAGAGUUUAUCCCACGUUAGCAAUUAACAAGGCCGCCCGUUUGUAUGCAUUCAACUAUGGAAGUCAAUCUAUAAAGAUUUCAAAGUUGAAUGCUUGGAGCAUGACAUUUAAAUGGACAAAUUUAACGUUGCAAUAAAAAAGAAAUGGAUAGAGAGAAACAAUUUCAUGUUAUUACAGACCAUUUCUACCUUUUCAUUUCACUUGUAAUUUAAACUAGUACCCUUACACCAUCUGUUCAUCUCUUUGUAGACGAACUAAAAAUAAAAAGGGAUCAAUUUGAUAUGUUCCUUCUUAUUCUAUAUGGGUGCUUAAUUUUGAUUUCAUUUCCCCCAAAUUAACAACAAAAAUGAUAUGAUUAAUGGUUGUAUUAAAAAGUAAUGCUAAAUUAGUUUUUUAAAUGGAACAUAUAAUUAAAUUAAGUAUUUUUAAUAACCAAAAUCUAAAAUUUGAUAACUUGUUUUGGUAAUAAAUCAGAAUAAAUCGAUAUUUUGGUAGUAAAUGAGAAUUUUGGUAACCCCUAAAACUGGAAUUAAUUUUAGAUGUUAUUGAUAUUAGAUAAGAUCCUACAUGAUUUUCUUCCUAUUAUAGCAUGGUACUUGCUUAUUCUUCAAAAUGUUUAAUUAUCAACUUCAUUUAUUUAUUGGUGAAGUUUCAACAAAAUUGACGAAAUUUAAUAACCUACAUCAUAUUUGAAAUUAAUUAUCCAUAUCUCUUUAUUCUAAAUUUCAAAUUAAUCAAGUUCCGUAAAUAUUAAUAUUAUAUUAUCAAGUCUUUCUAUUAACUUAAUGUCACAAUUGGUGUUAAAAGUCAAGUCGAUUAAAUUUAACAUGAAGCAUAUUUAAAGCACACAUAUAUUCACUAUAUGAACAACUUAGAUUUGAUACGUUAUAAAAAAACAAAUGUUGUCAUUAAAAUUUAAAGAGACUAUUUUUUUCUUCUUCUUCUUUUUAAUCCGUUGUAUCCAAGUUAUCAACAUGAUAGUUCCAUAUGUGUUUAAAUUUCGAUUAAUGUAUUUUAAAUAUACUCCAAGUCAUAUUUAAUCAAACAUCUAAUAUAAAAAAUACCUACUAAACUAAUAAAGGGACUUAAUUAAUACAAUAUUAAUACUCUCAAUUAAAUCAUUUUAAAUUUUAGAAGAUAAAUUAUAAUCUAAGCUGUAGUUGGGGGACAUCUACCCUAAUAUUUAAGCACUUUUUUACACUAUCUUUGGCCAUCCCAUCCAAAUGUUAUUUUAAAAUUUAUCAUAUGCAAUAAAAUUUUUAAAUAUUAAUUAAUUAUUAAAUAAAAUAAAAUUAUUCUUAGAUUAAGUAUUAAUUUACAUUCUUUAUUUUUUUUAUAAUUAAUAUUUCAACGUUGUAAUUGUUGAUUUUAAGUAAAAAAAAUUAAUUAUUAUAUAUAUAAAAAUAUUUUAAAUUAAUAAAAUAAAAAUAUUGAAUCAAUAUUAAAAUAUUAAAGAAAUAAUGUUUAACAUAAAAUAAUAAUGUUGCCAUAUAGUUGGCCUAUCAGUUGGACAAAAAAUUAAAAAAAAAAAAUUCAGCAAGUUCUUUGCAACUUGUCUACCAACCUUUUUAAUGAAAAUUUUAAAUUUUCAAUAUAUAUAUAUAUAUCACUUCAUCCUGCAAAAUUAUGCACUUCUUUCUCCAAUAAAUAGUGUUGUCAACUUCUCACCCAUCACAGUCCCACCUUUCCAAAGCAUAAAAUGGCUAACUCUAAUCUUGGCCUCUUUUUUGUCUUUGCUCUCUUGGGUAUUGUGGAGCUUGAAGCUUCACACCAUGUUUACAAACACCUUCAAACUUUUCAAUCUUCUUCUUCAUCUGCAAAUCAACCUUAUAGAACUGGCUAUCAUUUUCAACCUCCCAAAAAUUGGAUUAAUGGUAAUAUGAUAUAUGUUCACAUAAUAAAUUCUCUCAAUUCCUAUUUUUAUUUGCUUUUCUUUGUAUCUAACCAUUUGUUUCUUUUUUUUUAUUGUUUUAUUGUCAUUUGGUAUGCUUUGGUUGAUGGCUGCCUCUGGAUGAACAGACCCUAAUGGUUAGUACUUCCUUCCACUAUUACUUAUCUUUCUUUUGCUUCCUGAUUUUCUGUAUAUCUAAUGUAUUAUAUACAAAUUAUAGGAGUUAUGAUUUACAAGGGACUUUAUCACUUCUUCUAUCAAUACAAUCCAAAAGGAGCAGUGUGGGGCAACAUUGUAUGGGCUCACUCUACAUCGGAAGAUCUUGUGAAUUGGACCCCUCACGAGCCAGCCAUUUAUCCAUCCCAGCCGUCUGAUAUCAAUGGUUGUUGGUCCGGUUCAGCCACUAUCCUCUCUAGUGGCAAACCAGCUAUGCUUUACACUGGAAUUGACUCCCAAAACAGACAAGUUCAGAAUCUAGCCAUCCCCAAGAAUUUAUCCAACCCUUACCUUACAGAAUGGGUUAAAUCUGCUAAAAACCCUUUGAUGCAACCCACUGCUCAGAAUCAUAUCAAUGCAAGUUCAUUUAGAGAUCCAACGACUGCCUGGUUAGGCCCUAACAAGGAAUGGAGGGUCAUCAUUGGAAGCAAAGUGAAUCGCCAAGGCUUAGCCAUCCUUUACAAAAGCAAAAAUUUUGUAAACUGGUAUCAAUCCAAAACCCCAUUGCAUUCUGCUGACAACACUGGAAUGUGGGAAUGUCCUGAUUUUUUUCCUGUUCUACUUCAUGGCCAAAAUGGUGUCGACACCUCUCUUAAUGGCCCUAAUGUCAAGCAUGUGCUCAAGGUUAGCUUUGAUGAUACCAAGCAUGACUGCUACACUAUUGGCUCGUAUGACAAUGUCGAGGACAUUUAUACACCGGACGAGGGAUCUGUGGAGGGUGAUUCGGGGUUGAGAUACGAUUAUGGCAAAUAUUAUGCUUCCAAGACUUUCUUUGACAAUGUCCAGAAUCGGAGAAUCUUAACGAGUUGGAUCAAUGAAUCAUCAAGUGCGGCUGAUGAUAUCAAGAAAGGAUGGUCUGGAGUCCACGUAAGUUUUGGUUUAGUUAUUGAUUGUUUAUUAAGUUGAAAGUCUAUAAUCAAAUCUCCAUUAUGGUGUCUCAUUCUGCAGGCAAUUCCUAGGAAAAUUUGGCUGGAUGAAUUUGGGAAACAAUUGGUGCAAUGGCCAGUAGUUGAAAUAGAAAAGCUACGAGCAAACCACGUUAGCUUGGCAAACAAGUUGCUCGAGGGAGGAUCUGUUAUUGAAGUACCUGGUGUCACUGCUACACAGGUGAGUUUGUUUUGCUUCUACUUUCUUUAUUCAUUGUUGCUGGUCAUAAAAACCAGACAGUGGGUUUUCACCACGUGCCUCGUAUUCAUUCAUCGUCCUUUUCGUUCGUAUUUGUACAGGCAGAUGUUGAGGUCUCGUUUGAGAUAAAAGACUUUGAGAAAGCUGAGGUGCUAGAACCAAGCUGGACUAACCCACAGCUCCUAUGUACCCGAAUGGGUGCAUCGGUUAAAGGGAGUCUCGGUCCAUUUGGGUUGCUAGUUCUUGCUUCGGAGGGCCUGAAAGAGAGGACUGCAGUGUUCUUCAGAAUAUUCAAAGGCCAUAACAAAUAUGUGGUUUUAAUGUGCAGCGACCAAUCCAGGUCUGAAAAAACAUUCUCAAACCCCUUUUCAGUUUUCUCCCAAACUAAACAAGUUAAAUUCAUUAACUCUUGGCUUGUUCAUCUAUCUGACAGAUCUUCCCUAAAUCAAGAUAACGACAUGACAACAUAUGGAGCUUUCCUAGAUGUAGACAUUCGACAUCACAAGUUGUCAUUGAGGAGCUUGGUAAGUUUUAGUUGAUUCUUCAUCUGAGCUUUGAUGUAGCCAUUUCAUCAUUUUGAGACCCCCCCUUUUUUUUAAACAGAUAGAUCAUUCCAUAGUGGAGAGCUUUGGUGGAGGUGGGAAAGUUUGCAUCACAUCUAGAGUUUAUCCCACGUUAGCAAUUAACGAGGCUGCCCACUUGUAUGCUUUCAACAAUGGAAACCAAUCCAUAAAGAUUUUGGAGUUGAAUGCUUGGAGCAUGAAGACAGCUAAAAUCAAUUGAAACUAUAUUAUAUAGUUUCAAAAAUGGCAUCAAAGUAUGGCAAAUAAUGACAUUUAAAUGGA
rnacentral:lncRNA from 1 species